ACGGAGGGAUCGAACGUUAAUCGGAAUUACUGGGCGUAAAGCGCGCGUAGGCGGUUUGAUAAGUGGGAUGUGAAAGCCCCGGGCUUAACCUGGGAACUGCAUUCCAAACUGUCAGACUAGAGUAUGGUAGAGGGUGGUAGAAUUUCCUGUGUAGCGGUGAAAUGCGUAGAUAUAGGAAGGAAUACCGAUGGCGAAGGCAGCCACCUGGACCAAUACUGACGCUGAGGUGCGAAAGCGUGGGGAGCAAACAGG
rnacentral:rRNA from 1 species